GACGAACGCUGGCGGCGUGCUUAACACAUGCAAGUCGAACGGAAAGGCCCUGCUUUUGUGGGGUGCUCGAGUGGCGAACGGGUGAGUAACACGUGAGUAACCUGCCCUUGACUUUGGGAUAACUUCAGGAAACUGGGGCUAAUACCGGAUAGGAGCUCCUGCUGCAUGGUGGGGGUUGGAAAGUUUCGGCGGUUGGGGAUGGACUCGCGGCUUAUCAGCUUGUUGGUGGGGUAGUGGCUUACCAAGGCUUUGACGGGUAGCCGGCCUGAGAGGGUGACCGGCGACAUUGGGACUGAGAUACGGCCCAGACUCCUACGGGAGGCAGCAGUGGGGAAUAUUGCACAAUGGGCGGAAGCCUGAUGCAGCAACGCCGCGUGCGGGAUGACGGCCUUCGGGUUGUAAACCGCUUUCGCCUGUGACGAAGCGUGAGUGACGGUAAUGGGUAAAGAAGCUCCGGCUAACUACGUG
rnacentral:rRNA from 1 species